CCUCACAACAACCCUGUGAAGUAGGUUAGGCUGAAGCCACCCAGCUAGUAUCAUGGCUGAAUGGGGAUUUGAACUCAGGUCUCCUGGUCCUAGUCCAGCACUCUAACCACUACACCAUGCUGGCUCUAAACCCAAAGAGGAGGAGCAGCAGCAGCUAGUCUCCAGAGCCUGGGGCAGAUUAAAGAUUAGCUCCAGCUCCAUUGGUUGUAAUUUGGAGCAAAAGACUUGUAUCAAUUUCCUGGGAGGGCUCAAACAGGGCCUGCUAGGCCACGACUGCUACUAGGCCUCUGCUUCUGAGGUACUUCUGCUUUAGCACUGCUGCUAAAUUAGCAGCAGCACGUGCCCUCCUCACCUCGACGUUUUCUCUCUUGGCUUUGGGGAUUUCCUCCGACUUUGGUUUCACCAUCCAUCGAGGUCCACAUUUAGUUCUUCUGGCUGAAAGCGAGAUUGAACUCAGACUAGAGGCAUCUUUUGCAGCGCCAAGCACCGCUUUUAACUUCGGAAGAGACACCCGAGAGGGCUUUUAUUGUGAAAAGAGCCUCAACAAGUGAACCGACCUCCCCCACUCCUCUUAUCCCCUCCCCACGAGCUUGCCAGGGCUGGCACACUUUGCAAACUCCGCAAAGAAAACUUUGCCGGCGGCGAAUGAACGCGUAGCCCCCUUGGGGCUCGUCGGACCACCUUCCCCCUGCUUCCACACGCGCCUCGGAGUAACACCAGCAACGCCAGGUAUUUCUAAGGCGUACUACGCUGGACCGUUCUGCAGUGUUCCGCCACGGACGGAGCUGCAAUCCGGGCGUCUGAAAACUGCAUCCCUUUUGGAGUGAUGAGCAAGAGGCGCAGCCUGCAAAAGCAGAGCCGACCGAAAGGGCUGUAUGGUGGUCGUCGCCGGGCUUCAAAGAGGGAGCAUCUGGUUGCGAUUAACAAAAGAGAGGGAGCAGGCAGCACCAAACGCCUUCGUGGCUGGAGUUGUUGCUUCUGGGGAACUCAAAUGUAUCAGUCCAGCUGAGUAAUUAUAAAUUUUAAGAACAAAAAGAAGGCGAACAGCGUCCCUUGUGCCUUCUGCUGGGUGUUGUAUUAGAAAGGGGUGAAAGAGAACCACUGUCAGACUAAAUAUGGCCCGGAGACCGUGGUGCAGGAUGAGGCUGAAGAGAUCACCCAUGGCUGGAUGCUGCUUCUUGCUUGCUCUGUCUGUAGUUGCUCUUACUAGUUUUUCGCCAGCAUCCCUGGGCACCUACAAGGGAUUUGGUUUCCACGAACCUAGACGUGAGCCACAAGAAAAUGUCGCCCGGUCCAGGCAUGCUUGGAUGAACUCCAGUGUUCCUGUUGCCCAACAAGCAUGGCUCUUCAGCCAUAAGAAAGGGCCCAGCCCUCAGGGAAGACAAACUCUGCAGAAUCCCAGCUCUGUUUGCAAACCAAGGAGCAAGCAAAACAGCCAGGGUGAACAAAAUAGUAGAGGGUUAAACGCAAGGAGAAAGUCCAAAGGGCAGAUAAGAAAGCAGAACAUGGCAGCAAAAAUCUCUGAGCACAGCAGCAAACUACAACAUAAAGGCUCUCCCUCCAUGAAAAACCAUGAAAACAGAAGAGAAUUUGAGGUCCCCUUUACGCUAAAGAAUGCAGGGAAAUAUAUUAGCAUCUAUCCGGAUACAGGGGUGGAGGUAGAUUUGAAACCACAAAGGGCGUUGGCUUCCUUCUCUCCCCUUUUACAAGAUGGAAAGCUUGGAGCUCUUUUAUAUCUUAAGAACUGUUCUUCAGGCCAGCCAACUGUACCACAGGAGCAACAUAAACCAGAUGUGCAGACAGCUGGCGCUGAACACCAGCCCGCCAAUUUAAUCAAAGCUAUUAUCUUGGAUGGGCAUUCCUUCCAGAGCAAGAUCGACACUCAUGGACAGAUGGAGAUCACUCAUUCUCAGAAUCGUCAAAGAGCUCAUUUUUUGAAAGGAGGUGCAGAGGGACUGCAGAAAUCAGAAUGGUGCACAGAGCCUCAAGACAAUCGCCGUCCUGGAAGUCAGGAAGGCCGAUUGAGAUCUGAUAAGAAGAUCAUGCCUUGGUUUACUCUAGAUGAUGUGCAGAAGAUGAAGCUCCUGGCCACUGGUGCAAUUGUAAAUAAAGACAGAAUCCCUGCCCAUGGGCAGAUACUCAGAGUUGCCCUUUCAUCCCACCAAGAUGCCUUUUCACAUGACCCUCAAAAACUCUGUUUGGAGGGGUUCUGUGGUUUAAUCAAAAGGUCCACUGACCUCUAUGAGGUUUUGGCUUUCCACUUGGACAGAGUGUUGGGACUGCAUCGGAGCCUGCCUGUGGUGGCUAGGAAAUUUAGCAGUCACUUGCUACCCUAUAAAUACACCAAUGGUGCUACUAGGCCCAUCAUAUGGUGGGUACCUGAUAUACAACACCUGAAUGAUUCAAACAAUGACCAGAACUCCUUUGCUCUAGGGUGGCAACAAUACCAGGAACUACUGAGGCAUCGGUGUGGCAUGGAAGAUUCCAGAACAGCUCUUGGGAAACCUCCGUGUUUGACUGUCCUACACUCAGAAUGGGCCAAAUUAGCACUCUUUGAUUUUCUUCUCCAGGUAGACCUGGUGACAGAGCAACUUUUUAAAUCUCUCUUUCCCCUUCUCCUAUCUUUUUAUCCCCAAGGUAUGAAAAGCAACAGAGUAAAAAUAUAAGGGAAGUGGAAAUAAGACAAAUAUUUAUAUACUUUAUUUGGAUUGGAAAGGAGAGGAACAGAUUGUUUAUGUUUACAUUUAUAUCCUCUUCUUCCAAGGAGCCAGAGAGUGUAGUGCAUAGUUAUAUUUGUCUCCGCAACUGUCCUGUAAGGUAGGUUAGACUGAGAGAUAAGUGACUGGCCUAGAGUCACCCAGGGAGUUUCAUGGCUUGCCAUGAAAUCCUUUCUUCAAGUGCUUCAGAAGAAAUAAAAAGAUAGGCUCUCAGAUCCUACUACAUAGGCUGGAAAACAGAACACAAGCAAAAUCCUUUCUUCCCAGCAGGAGUCCUCACCCCACCCAUCCUGUACUGGAUUGCAAGCUGAUGUGUGAGCUUCAAAAGUAGACGUGUGAAGCAUAAUAGGCUGUCCUUAGGGAGAAAACAUUAAAAAACAUAUUUGGAUUGUGCAAAUUAGUGCUGAAAUUUAUAUGAGGAAAAUUUUGCUGUCAGAUUCUUCUGGUUUACAAAAAUCUGAAUAGAUAUUAUCUGAGCUUGACUUUUUAAAACAUUCCCAGUUAUGGAUGGAUGUUGUCUGUAGAUGUUUAGCUGAGGAAAUUUAGAAAAAACAGGGCAUGGCCUAAUAUCUCCCCAGAGCAAUUGUACCCUCAGGUAGUUUUUAAAAAAAUCAACAUUAGAUUACUGCAAGGCCAGAACAACAUAGUUGCAGGAUUCAGGUAAGAACUGUAAAACUAGCAAAGAUUGGGAGGGAUAGGCCAGACCAAGACAGAAUAAAAUGAUAAUUAUUUCUGCCAAAUAAGGGUCUAAUAGUCAGUUCAGAACAUGUACAUCAGUUCCUUAUUUUCUCCAUGGGAUCCCUCCCAUUAUCAUGUGGAGAAACCUCUGGGUGAACUGGGACUGGUAACUGAUACAGCCCAAAGCAUCUUGCCAUUUCCAUGGCUGUGGCUGGAAAAAGCACUGAUGCACUCAAGAAAAUUGUGCCAGCUCACUGCAACUCUGUCCACAGCUAGGGUCAGGAUCAUAUGACUCAGUAUAGCCCUGGUCACGUUAGGCAAAGAAGAUCUUGACUAUGUGUUCUGGCCUGAGAUUAUACAUGCUGAGAGCCUUCUAGAGAAGGUUAGACUUUUUAGUAAAUCCUACAGAAUGGCUUAGACAUUCCAUGGAGAUGAGAUAGCUUUUCUGUUAUUAGAGGUGGUUAUGGAACUUUCCCAUAAGGUUAUUAUUACUUGCAGCUUCCUUAAUAUAUUGCAGUUCCACAGGGGUUCCCAAAGGCUAGCUGCAUGCAUUGGAUUCCACCGUAAAACUCCUCAAACUUCACAGAGAGGCUACCACUGUUGAUUAUUUUUUAUUGCCUUUACUUACUGAUAUCAUUCCGAUCGCUCUGUGAACAGCUCUCCACAGGAAUAAGGAUUUACUUUUAUUGCCAAGAAAAGCCUCCUGAAGAGAGAGUGUAGUGUACUGUGAACACUCUUUGAAAAACUUCCACACAUUCAGCCAUCUCUUUUCCCAACAGAGUCUUCAGUGUCCAUGACCGCCUGGAUCGAUAUUGCUGCGGCUUUCAGCCAGACUCUUUUGAGCCUUGCGUGCAGGAAAUGCUUCAUGAGAAAUGCCGAAACCCUGCAGAACUGUUCUUGGUUCAUAUCUUGGCAGGCCUCUUCAUCCAGAAGCAAAACUCAACUUCAGGCUGCUGCAAGGGAUAGAUGGGUUUCCCGAGACAGCUGUGACUGUCCUCAAGUCAGGAUGUUUACAAAAC